CCCCUCGCAGGGUCACACCUGGAGAGUUUCCAGUACUCUACCAAUCUCGGCUACAGGAGGGAGCUUCAAGCAGAGGCAUAUCCAUUCCAUUCCUAGCUUGGGCAGUGGCUAGAGAGUGGAAGACAAUUUACUACAAGU